UACAGAGGGUGCGAGCGUUGUUCGGAAUUAUUGGGCGUAAAGGGCGCGUAGGCGGUGCGGUAAGUCACCUGUGAAAUCUCCUGGCUCAACUGGGAGCUUGCAGGCGAAACUGCCGUGCUGGAGUGUGGGAGAGGUGCGUGGAAUUCCCGGUGUAGCGGUGAAAUGCGCAGAUAUCAGGAAGAACACCCGUGGCGAAAGCGGCUCUCUGGAACGGUACUGACGCUGAGACGCGAAAGCGUGGGGAGCGAACAGG
rnacentral:rRNA from 1 species